CAUAGACUACAGCAAGGAAAGACUGAAUUUUAUGGGGAUGGGAGCAGAAUAUUGAGAAUUAGCAUUUUGCACAGUUUUGUAGUCUUGCUGCUGCCUUUCUGCCAACACGGAUGGGUGACUGGUAUUACCUCUGGUGCACCUGCAACCUGGGCCUGUCAAAAAAAUACAAAUCACAAUAUAAAAUAAUCAGCUCAUGAAAAAAGUUUAGGCUGAGAUUUGUUUCUCAUUUGUCACAUCAAAAUCAAGAAACCUUUUAUGCAGGAAGCAGGAGAGUAUUUGACAUUAAUCUGCUGGUAUGCAGGGAGAAUAAAUGAGGAAUUUUUGUUGUUCGUGUGUUCAUGUAGCAUAUCAAUGAUUUUGAUAAUAGCAUGAGGAUAUCUGGCUACAGUCUAACAUGUUAAAUUAAGUUGUUAAGGCCUUAACACAGGUUUUGUCUGCCUUUAUUCUAGUAGAGUUACAGGUUCAUAUGACUGUUAAGAGAGUGGAGAAUAAAAUCAAGUGUAAUUCUGACUAUGGUAAAAAAUUUAUUCUCUCUGCAGGUCAAUGAAAUAGAGGAAGAUGUGAAAGCGUGUUAGAAAACCUAAAAAUGGCAGCAGAUAAAUAGAAAGAUAAAGAAGUAAAAGGUCCUCAACAUCAGCAUCAUACUCCUCAGGGCAAAGGACUGAUGAAAUGCUGUGCUUCACUUUUCCAGCUCCCUCCAACCAGAUUUAAGUCAUCAUUAGGACACCCAAGGAGAAGUGGAAUGGUCUAUCACCUAUUAAUAUGUACCCCAAACAAGGACUGGAGUGUUGGAGUUUAUCAUGCACCAGAUGAUUACGGCAAGAUGCUUACAGGUCAGAAAUCCCUGAAACCUGGAUUUUCUUCAUCCCAGUAUAUUAAAAACUAGAUGGAAAAAAAUCCCAGCAAACCCUUUCCAUUUUGCCCUUGAAACGUCGCAGACAGCGCUACUUCAUGGAAGGAACAGAGGUUCAGUCCCCAGAACUUACCAGACCUUGUAAGGCUUUUAAACACUAUCUCUCCACACAUACUUACCCUUUCUUCAGCUAUGUUCUGGUGACUUCCUCUCCAUCCAAACACAUCAGUACCUUCGGACCCAUUUCACACAAUUUCACACAGAAAGGUGUGACACAUGACUGAACUUUCAAAAGUGUAUACACAAAAUGCUGUGAUAUACUCUCUUGUAUUCCAGCCAGGUUAUGCACAGAGGAUUGAGAUGCAUAUCCGUAUCUUGACUAUCUGCGCUAUAGUGACAAUGUUAAUUCAUAAUCAAGAUUAAGUUUCCCUGCUCUCCUGAAUUAACAUAUUUGCAGCCCAUUUCUGGUCAGGUACCUGAAUUCAAGUAACUCAUGUAAGCUCAGAAAGCCUAGGAAGGAGAAUAAAAAAAGCUGAAAAGGUUCCAUUUCAAUUUAUUUCUUCGUUUUUAGGUUCAAGGGGGGGGGAAAGCCCCACUUAUUUAAUUUUUUAACAUAUCAUUGACACUUCAGAAAUGAAGGACUCUCCUUUUCUACUCGGGUACAGGUGGGUCUUGGUUUGCUUAUAGUGAUCAUUAGAAAAAGAAUAAAAAUGUUGACUCUGCUGUUUGA